GACGAACGCUGGCGGCGUGCUUAACACAUGCAAGUCGAACGGUGAAGCGCCUUCCUUUUUGGUGGGUGUGGAUGAGUGGCGAACGGGUGAGUAACACGUGAGUAACCUGCCCCCUUCUUCUGGAUAACCGCAUGAAAGUGUGGCUAAUACGGGAUAUUCUGGGUCUGUCGCAUGAUGGGUCUGGGAAAGAUAUUGUUUCGGUGGGGGAUGGGCUCGCGGCCUAUCAGCUGGUUGGUGGGGUGAUGGCCUACCAAGGCGGUGACGGGUAGCCGGCCUGAGAGGGUGGACGGUCACACUGGGACUGCGACACGGCCCGGACUCCUACGGGAGGCAGCAGUGGGGAAUAUUGCACAGUGGGCGCAAGCCUGAUGCAGCGGCGCCGCGUGAGGGAUGGAGGCCUUCGGGUUGUGAACCUCUUUCGCCAGUGAAGCAGGCCUGCCUCGUUUGUGGGUGGGUUGACGGUAGCUGGAUAAGAAGCGCCGGCUAACUACGUG
rnacentral:rRNA from 1 species